CAGCGGCACUCAUAAUCAGUUUAAUUUUCCCCUGGAAAAGAAAUUGGCUGGUGGAAAAUCUGAUUGGCUGCAAACUUUAAAAAUCUACUAGCCAUGGUGGCUGGUGAUUAAAAAAGGUAAUUUAAAGACCCGGGUGAAGUCGAGCGUGGCAUUAUUUAACAUAGAAAA